AUUGAACGCUGGCGGAAUGCUUUACACAUGCAAGUCGAACGGUAGAGGGGGCAACCCCUCGAGAGUGGCGAACGGGUGAGUAAUAUAUCGGAACGUGCCCAGUCGUGGGGGAUAACGUAGCGAAAGUUACGCUAAUACCGCAUACGAUCUACGGAUGAAAGCGGGGGAUCGCAAGACCUCGCGCGAUUGGAGCGGCCGAUAUCAGAUUAGGUAGUUGGUGGGGUAAAGGCUCACCAAGCCAACGAUCUGUAGCUGGUCUGAGAGGACGACCAGCCACACUGGAACUGAGACACGGUCCAGACUCCUACGGGAGGCAGCAGUGGGGAAUUUUGGACAAUGGACGCAAGUCUGAUCCAGCCAUUCCGCGUGCAGGAUGAAGGCCCUCGGGUUGUAAACUGCUUUUGUACGGAACGAAAAGGUUUCUAUUAAUACUAGGAGCUCAUGACGGUACCGUAAG
rnacentral:rRNA from 1 species